UAAGCAUAUCACUAAGCGGAGGAGAAGAAACUAACCAGGAUUUCCCUAGUAACGGCGAGCGAACCGGAAAGAGCCCAGCUUGGAAAUCGUGGUGCCUCGCACCUCGAGUUGUAGUCUGGAGAAGGUCCCUCUGCGACGCGCCGGACCCAAGUUCCCUGGAAAGGGACGUCAGAGAGGGUGAGAACCCCGUUCGCGUCCGAACCGCGUCGCUCCACGAGGACCUGUCUGCGAGUCGGGCUGUUUGGGAAUGCAGCCCUAAGCGGGUGGUAAAUUCCAUCCAAGGCUAAAUACUGGCAAGAGACCGAUAGCGAACAAGUACCGCGAGGGAAAGAUGAAAAGGACUUUGAAAAGAGAGUUAAAAAGUGCUUGAAAUUGCUGGGAGGGAAGCGAAUGGAAGCUGCGGGUGCGCCCCGGUUGGAUGCGGAACGGCUUCGGCUGGUCCGCCGCUCAACGCGGGGCGCUGGUCAGCGUGGGCCGUCGCGCCGGGACAAGAGCGGGGAUUCGCUUCCCGCCUAUGCCGGUGCGGCGGCCGAGGAACGAAGCGCGCGCCUCUUCUGGCGUGGGUUCGCCCAACUGCGCGCUCGGGACGCUGGCGUAUUGAGCUCUUCAUCCGGCCCGUCUUGAAACACGGACCAAGGAGUCUAACAUGUAUGCGAGCCGGUGGGCGGCAAACCCAUUGAGGCGCAAGGAACCUGACAGGUGGGACCCCGACCGCGAGGGAGGGAGCACCAUCGACCGACCGUGAUCUUCUGUGAAAGGUUUGAGUGUGAGCAUACCUGUUGGGACCCGAAAGAUGGUGAACUAUGCCUGAGCAGGGCGAAGCCAGAGGAAACUCUGGUGGAGGCUCGUAGCGAUACUGACGUGCAAAUCGUUCGUCAGACUUGGGUAUAGGGGCGAAAGACUAAUCGAACCAUCUAGUAGCUGGUUCCCUCCGAAGUUUCCCUCAGGAUAGCUGGAGCUCGUGUAAAAGUUUUAUCAGGUAAAGCGAAUGAUUAGAGGCAUCGGGGGUGUAACACCCUCGACCUAUUCUCAAACUUUAAAUAGGUAAGCCGCCGGGGUUGCUUGGUUGAACCCUGGCACAGAAUGAGAGCUCCAAGUGGGCCAUUUUUGGUAAGCAGAACUG
rnacentral:rRNA from 1 species